rnacentral:rRNA from 1 species
GAGUUUGAUCCUGGCUCAGGACGAACGCUGGCGGCGCGCCUAACACAUGCAAGUCGAACGAGCGAGAGAGAGCUUGCUUUCUCGAGCGAGUGGCGAACGGGUGAGUAACGCGUGAGGAACCUGCCUCAAAGAGGGGGACAACAGUUGGAAACGACUGCUAAUACCGCAUAAGCCCACGGGUCGGCAUCGACCAGAGGGAAAAGGAGCAAUCCGCUUUGAGAUGGCCUCGCGUCCGAUUAGCUAGUUGGUGAGGUAACGGCCCACCAAGGCGACGAUCGGUAGCCGGACUGAGAGGUUGAACGGCCACAUUGGGACUGAGACACGGCCCAGACUCCUACGGGAGGCAGCAGUGGGGGAUAUUGCACAAUGGGGGAAACCCUGAUGCAGCGACGCCGCGUGGAGGAAGAAGGUUUUCGGAUUGUAAACUCCUGUCGUUAGGGACGAUAAUGACGGUACCUAACAAGAAAGCACCGGCUAACUACGUGCCAGCAGCCGCGGUAAUAC